AGCUGCAAGAGAUUUUGGGUAACGGCUGCUUUAGAUGCUGGAAUCAUGAUGGAAUCUGCUGGAUAUCCCGUUACAAAGCUGGAACCUUUUGUUAGCCGGGAAACUAGAACAUGUAGCUACCCCAUUUUGCAUCUCAUGAAUGUAUCCAAUAGCGAGCUGCUGUGGCUGUUAAGUGGCAUUUUUUGGAUGUUAGUUGUUGUUUUACUGCUUGCAUUCAAUUUAGUCACUACUGCUAGAUAUCAGUCAUAACAUGUAUGGCAGAGCUCCUAGAUGUCAUUUAAAAAUGGUUUUUAUUUCCUGCAGCGACACUUGCCUUUUGAUUUCAAUCUCACCAUGUGCUGAAGAAUAGUAUUUAUAGAUACUCUUACCAUUCUUAUUUAAUUACAAACAAUAUUGAUCGUUGUACAUGAUUUUGAAAACGAGAAGAAGCACCUAGCUGAGAGUGGGAGAUUGCUUAAACCAGUGAGCUCUAUAGAUUGUUCACUCCAGAUUUUCCAGUCUGUUUGUACAAAACUGAAAGCCUGAAAUGUUGUCCAUCAAGAUAUAUACCUAGCCUGUGUCAUCAAUUAUGCCACUUUCAUAAAAGCUCAAGGAAUUGAAUCUUGGUGGCACGUAGAGAUCUUAUUGCAGUUUUCAAAUGGGAGAGAAGUGUUUUCUUGAAAGCCAUCAUCUGCUGCAGCUGCAAAAAAGCUUGGUGGAGCACACUCAUGCAGGAGUUAAACUUUAAGAACUUUGUGGAUCUUAAUAAAUAGCCUAUCUUCUAAUGGACAUUCUGCACACGAUCUGAUUUUAGAGUUUCUUUUGGAAAAAACUGGACGACGGAUUUCCUUGUCUGUGCUGUAUUUCCUCUUUAGAAUCAUUUUUGUCGUCCCUAUGCUUUCAUUCGAAAUCCAACAUAAAUGUUGUAGUUGUAGUAUGAGCUCUCAAAACAGAGGAAAUUUUGUUCUGCAGGCGACAUUUAGUUGUGACUUACCGUAUAUAUAUGUACAAUGUUCUGCCUUGUGCCUUUUGCAAA